GACGAACGCUGGCGGCGUGCUUAACACAUGCAAGUCGAACGGUGAAGCGCUUUCCUUUUUGGUUGGUGUGGAUGAGUGGCGAACGGGUGAGUAACACGUGAGUAACCUGCCCCCUUCUUCUGGAUAACCGCAUGAAAGUGUGGCUAAUACGGGAUAUUCUGCGCCUGCUGCAUGGUGGGUGUGGGAAAGAUUGUGCCUUUGGGUGUUUUCGGUGGGGGAUGGGCUCGCGGCCUAUCAGCUUGUUGGUGGGGUGAUGGCCUACCAAGGCGGUGACGGGUAGCCGGCCUGAGAGGGUGGACGGUCACACUGGGACUGAGACACGGCCCAGACUCCUACGGGAGGCAGCAGUGGGGAAUAUUGCACAAUGGGCGCAAGCCUGAUGCAGCGACGCCGCGUGAGGGAUGGAGGCCUUCGGGUUGUGAACCUCUUUCGCAAGUGAAGCAGGCCUGCUCCUUGUGGGUGGGUUGACGGUAGCUGGAUAAGAAGCGCCGGCUAACUACGUG
rnacentral:rRNA from 1 species